AUGCCCAAGUCACCUCAUCUGGCUCCUCUCGAUGUGGAGGAGCAGUGGCUCUACUCUGAGUCCCUCCCAGCCACCCUGCGGAGGAAACCCAUUUCGCCCGCUUGUAUUCGUGACCUCAUUCUUUUGGUCAUUACCCGCAGCUCAUGACCAUAGGUGAGGGUAGGAACGUAGAUCGACUGGUAAAUCGAGAGCUUUGCCUUUUGCCUCAGCUCCUUCUUAACCAUGUCAGACCGAUGUAGCGCUCACAUCACUGCUGACACUGCACCAGUCCGCCUGUCAAUCUCCUGCUCCAUCCUUCCCUCACUCGUGAACAUAUGUAGGCUUAAUUCAGUUGUUCUCAACCUUUAUUGCACCGCAACCCACUUUUUACCAUGCUGGCUGAGUUGUAACGCUACGAUUGAGCAUGCAAGGCACUCUGCAAUUUGCGUCAAUCAAUACCUAUUGCAUACAUCUGAUUGGAUGUGCCAGUGAAUUUUAAAUGAAGCAUCUGUGGUUUGUCUUUGAUUAGUUGAGUUUUGCACUAACCAAGACCCAUUUAUAUAGGAUAAUGCAAGGAUUGGGGCAAGGAAAUCUGAUUGUUGAUCAGAAUAGGAGCUUGCUGGUUUUUAAAAUGCUUAGAUUUCCAGCUCUACCUCACGACCCUUUCAGAGCUUGACCCAUGGGUUGAGAAUCACUGCCUUAACAUUCUAACAUAGUUUAACAGCUUUAUUAAUAUACUUUAAUAACAAAGAUUAUAUGAUUAUACAAUUAUAAUGUUUGCUAUAACGCAUGUUUAUUAUCAAUGUAUUUUAAACUGCUACUAAUCUUCAGUGGUUGCCAUUCUAUAUUUCCCUCCAUAUGGGAGGAGGCACGUCUAAUAAACAGAAGGAAUCCAUAAUCUCCUUUGUCUCUCGGAUGAGGUUCUGUAAGAGGUCAACUAGGGUUGUAUCCUUGCCGGUUAGUGCAUCUAAUUGAAUAACAACUAUCCGGCAUUUUGGCUAAACAAAUGUGGUAAAAAUAAGCAGCAGGCAGCGUAAUAAAGCCUUAUUUUGCGCGCCGGGUGGGCGGUCCUAUGCGCAUGUGACGUCACGUGAAAACUGACGUAAAAAUCGCCACUGUGGUUCGAGAACCUCAAGCUUAUAAAGUUUGGUGUGAGCAGAAACACAACUCAUUUUCAGUUCGCACUUGUGGAAGAGUAUCUCAGCAAAAAUGUGCUUCUGGUGUUUCCCCUUCUUUUGGUCCAGUGGCUCAUCAGAUGAUGAGUCUGAGGAGCAGCUGAUUGUUGAGGAGGAUGAAGUGCAUGAUGUGGAAACGAUCGAGGCACAGCCGGUGUCCAUUUGGAUGCCAGAUUAAAGAUUCCUCCCACAGCAAACUCAGCAGACCCAGACUCCCGAACUGCAAACAAGAACGGAAGCAGCAUAUGAUUAAAUAUCGGGUUCCUUGUGAUCAGCCCUCGCGAGGAAUCCAUACGACAAAAGAAACUAAGCUGUGUUGUGCACAAAUAUUCUCACCAUUAAGAGAGCGGGGAAGCGUGGAGAGGUCCCAUUGCAAAUUGCAUGUUGCACGCAAGGUGAGGAUUUGCACGUUGCCACAGAGAAACGCCAGGAUAAGGCAAGGAUCCUGCACAAACACAUGUACAGGUACUACUGACAGUGCAAGAAUUAGCAGUAAUUGUUACCUGAAUCUUACGGCAAUGAGGAAGGACAGGAGAGGAGAAAGAACUAAGAAGGGUGCAGGAAGGAAAGAAAGAAAGAAGAGAGUGGAAGAUCAAGAUAGACUGUAAAGAAACAUUUUGUCUAUCACAAUAAAACAUUGUGGAAUCAAA